UGGAUGGCUCCGGAUGUUAGACC
rnacentral:piRNA from 1 species